AUUUAUGUAGUUUACUUAAAACAAAUUAUUUUCAAUAAUUAAAAAAAAAUUAUUUUCAUAAAUU
rnacentral:tRNA from 1 species